AACGAACGCUGGCGGCAUGCCUAACACAUGCAAGUCGAACGAGACCUUCGGGUCUAGUGGCGCACGGGUGCGUAACGCGUGGGAACCUGCCCUUAGAUUCGGAAUAACUCCCCGAAAGGGGUGCUAAUACCGGAUAAUGUCUUCGGUCCAAAGAUUUAUCGCCUUUGGAUGGGCCCGCGUUGGAUUAGCUAGUUGGUAGGGUAAAAGCCUACCAAGGCGACGAUCCAUAGCUGGUCUGAGAGGAUGAUCAGCCACACUGGGACUGAGACACGGCCCAGACUCUUACGGGAGGCAGCAGUGGGGAAUAUUGGACAGUGGGCGAAAGCCUGAUCCAGCAAUGCCGCGUGAGUGAUGAAGGCCUUAGGGUUGUAAAGCUCUUUUACCCGGGAUGAUAAUGACAGUACCGGGAGAAUAAGCUCCGGCUAACUCCGUG
rnacentral:rRNA from 1 species